CGGAGGGUCUCUCCAGAAUGGUUAACCAGAUGCUGCUCAAUUUGCUGCCCCGUUGGCCUCACGGUACACAUUGUUUGUCUGAACGACCAUCCUUCCACACAGCAUAGCCCGAAUGUUCCUGACCAGCGAGUGACUAUCUCUCACACCACCAGUACUCCACUGGAUCCAACUGAUGACUGUCGUCGAAUCGUCCUCCAGUACUUCAGCACAUGCAGGCAAAAAGCG
rnacentral:lncRNA from 1 species